GCUUGUCUCAAAGAUUAAGCCAUGCAUGUCCAAGUAUAAACCAAUCUAUACGGUGAAACUGCGAAAGGCUCAUUAAAUCAGUUAUAGUUUAUUUGAUAGAGAUUUACUACAAGGAUAACCGUGGUAACCCAGAGCUAAUACAUGCACAGAGGCGCAAGCUUCGUAUUUAUUAGAUAGAACCAACGGCCACGGCCUUCAAGGUGAUUCACAAUAACUAAGCAGAUCGCAAGGCGCAUGCCGGCGACAGAUCAAUUAAAUGCCUGCCCUAUCAACUAAGGAUGGUAGGAUAGAGGCCUACCAUGGUUAUAACGGGUAACGGGGAAUUAGGGUUCGAUUCCGGAGAGGGAGCCUGAGAAACGGCUACCACAUCCAAGGAAGGCAGCAGG
rnacentral:rRNA from 1 species